GACGAACGCUGGCGGCGUGCUUAACACAUGCAAGUCGAACGAUGAACCGGUUUCGGCCGGGGAUUAGUGGCGAACGGGUGAGUAACACGUGGGCAAUCUGCCCUGCACUCUGGGAUAAGCCCGGGAAACUGGGUCUACUACCGGAUACGACACUCCGAGGCAUCUUGGGGUGUGGAAAGUUCUGGCGGUGCAGGAUGAGCGCGCGGCCUAUCAGCUUGUUGGUGGGGUAAUGGCCUACCAAGGCGACGACGGGUAGCCGGCCUGAGAGGGUGACCGGCCACACUGGGACUGAGACACGGCCCAGACUCCUACGGGAGGCAGCAGUGGGGGAUAUUGCACAAUGGGCGAAAGCCUGAUGCAGCGACGCCGCGUGAGGGAUGACGGCCUUCGGGUUGUAAACCUCUUUCAGCAGGGAAGAAGCGAAAGUGACGGUACCUGAAGAAGAGGCACCGGCUAACUACGUG
rnacentral:rRNA from 1 species